rnacentral:rRNA from 1 species
UACGUAGGUGGCAAGCGUUGUCCGGACUUACUGGGCGUAAAGGGCGUGCAGGCGGUUUGUUAAGUUCAGGGUGAAAGCUCCCGGCUCAACUGGGAGAGGUCCUUGGAUACUGGCAGACUUGAGGAGGGUAGAGGAGAGUGGAAUUCCCGGUGUAGUGGUGAUAUGCGUAGAUAUCGGGAGGAACACCAGUGGCGAAGGCGGCUCUCUGGGCCCUACCUGACGCUGAGACGCGAAAGCGUGGGGAGCGAACCGG